AACAGCUCCCUCCAAUAACGAGACAAGGCUACGUUUAGAGGGAUCAAGAAGAACUGUCAAAACCUUUAUUUCCCUUGGGACCAGCCAAUAGGGUAACCACAAUAACAUUGUUGUGAAACCUCAAUAAAAUUACAAACAGUCAAACAAUAUCAAGCAACACACAGUGACUUAUCACAACACAAUGGCACAUGUUUAAAGGGGUGGGGGGAGACAAUAUUUAACAGUAAAUAUCUCACCUGCCUGCAGAAUUAGCAAUAUGCAAAUCUACCCGAAUAUGCAAAUGAACCAGUCUUGCAAUUCAGGUAGUGCAUAUUGCUGUUGCUACCAACAGAGGGCACUAGACAAGCUCCAUAGCCAAACCCACCUAGUUGGUAGCAAACCUCAGCAAUACAAGAGAGCAGGCAAUACAUUACACAGUACACACACACUAUAAACAAUUACAUUACACACACCCUGCACCUAUAAUGGGUACAGGGUGACUAAAACAUAAGAGAAAUAAAGCAGCCUACAUAAAUAGUCUGUCUGAAGGUAGAAUAGGGGCUUUAAAGCCAGAUACAUGAAAGAGUCAUAGUCACAGGGGAGGAGGCUGGCAAGUAGGCCUCUCCAGGACCAAGUGGCGAAGGGCACUUCGUCACACACUCCAAACUAUCAGGCACCGAGAGGAUCAGCCCCUUGAGGACAUGGGAUCCAAAUUGUAGUGUGAUGCACAAACUCCCUCUCAGCCGAAAUUGUGAAGCAGAAAACAAUGUUGCUUUAUUCCAAAUAGACAAAUAUAAAAUAAAUAACUGGUACUGUAUUGAAGUAGAUCAGAUAGUCCUGGUAGUUCGUGGAUAAACCGUCUUAGUUCUAUCUUACUAUAUGUCCAGCUGAUCGCAGACUCUCUGUACAAGUGCAGCUACUUCCGGGUUCGGUGUGGCACCUUUGGUUUUAUAGAUGGCGUAAAUCGACGGCUCUGUUUAUAGUUGGCUUAAAUCACUGACUCUGUUUAUAGGUGGCGUAAACUGUUUAUAAAUAUAAACACACUAGGAGAGCGCAAUUCUUAUAAAAGUAUACAAUAUUUAAAAAUGACAAAUGAAAAUAAAACAGCUGCUAUCCACAAAAAUGUUUUUCCUUAAAAUCUCUUUUAGUUCAAAUGUAAAGAUAAGUGGAAUCGUAAAUCUAUAUACCUCUCCAAGGUAUAUUAACUUUUUCAAUUCCACAAAAGUUUAUUCCUCCUGGAUUACUAGCAUGAUGCUCCAAAAAAAAAGUUUGGAUGAGUGUUUUCAAACCUUCUUUUAAUAUUGUAUAUAUGUUCGUUAAGUCUGAUUUUUAAGUUCCUUUUCGUUUGUCCCACAUAUUGUAGUCCACAAGGACAACUGAAUAAAUAUCUAACCUGCUUUGAAUGGCAGGUCAUACAUUCUUUAAUAUCAUGAUUUUUGCAUGUAAGGGUUCCCUUUGGGGGGGGGAAAGG